GGGGCUCGAGGAGCGCGCGCCUCGCACCCGAGGGCUGCAGAGAGAUAUUUUGGGUGGCAGGAGGCCCCUCGUCAUUUCCGCCGGGCAGCUUGUCGUGCUGGGGCUUCACUCCCGCGCGCGAGGCGAGCGGGCAAGUUGGCUGCAGGCGUGCGGCAGUGGUGGCUUUUUCCCUUAGCUGCGAGACCCUCGGCAGUGCAAGCCAUGAACUGAAGCCCUGAGGGACGGAGACCCCAACGGAGUAGCAGAGCAGCCAGUGCUUCAGCAGAGACCAAGAGGAGCUGAGACCCCGGGGCGUUUCCCUCCCAAUCACUGCUCCAACGGCUGCUGCCCGCCGUGUGCUAAGAGACGUUGCAGCCAAGAGACCCGACACACAAAAGCCGCUUUCUCCGAGCUGCCCGCCCAGCGAGGCAGCGGUCAGCAAGGGACCCCACCUGAGGGCGGCUUGGGCUGCUGAGUUCGUCUUGUGUCUGGGCUGUACACCCCUCGCCGAACCGAUCCAGUGCCCAUGGCUCUGAUCAUGGAACCAGUGAGCAAAUGGUCUCCGAGUCAAGUAGUGGACUGGAUGAAAGGUCUUGAUGACUGUUUGCAGCAGUAUAUUAAGAACUUUGAGAGGGAGAAGAUCAGUGGGGACCAGCUGCUGCGCAUUACACAUCAGGAGCUGGAAGAUCUGGGGGUCAGCCGCAUUGGCCAUCAGGAACUGAUCUUGGAAGCAGUUGACCUUCUGUGUGCACUGAAUUAUGGCUUGGAAACAGAAAAUCUAAAAACCCUUUCUCACAAGUUGAAUGCAUCUGCCAAAAACCUACAAAAUUUUAUAACAGGGAGGAGAAGGAGUGGCCAUUAUGAUGGGAGAACCAGUCGAAAAUUGCCAAAUGAUUUUCUGACUUCAGUUGUGGAUCUGAUUGGAGCAGCUAAGAGUCUUCUUGCCUGGUUGGACAGGUCACCAUUUGCUGCUGUCACAGACUAUUCAGUUACAAGGAAUAAUGUCAUACAGCUCUGCUUGGAAUUGACAACAAUUGUGCAACAGGAUUGUACUGUAUAUGAAACAGAGAAUAAAAUUCUUCAUGUGUGUAAAACCCUUUCUGGAGUCUGUGACCACAUCAUAUCCCUGUCAUCAGAUCCUCUGGUUUCACAGUCAGCCCACCUGGAAGUGAUUCAGCUGGCAAACAUCAAACCAAGUGAAGGGCUGGGUAUGUAUAUUAAAUCAACAUAUGAUGGUCUCCACGUAAUUACUGGAACUACAGAAAAUUCACCUGCAGAUCGGUGCAAAAAAAUCCAUGCUGGUGAUGAAGUGAUUCAAGUUAAUCAUCAGACUGUGGUGGGGUGGCAGUUGAAAAAUUUGGUGAAUGCACUACGAGAGGACCCGAGUGGUGUUAUCUUAACUUUGAAAAAGCGACCUCAGAGCAUGCUUACCUCAGCACCAGCUUUACUGAAAAAUAUGAGAUGGAAGCCCCUUGCUCUGCAGCCUCUUAUACCUAGAAGUCCCACAAGCAGCGUUGCCACGCCUUCCAGCACCAUCAGUACACCCACCAAAAGAGACAGUUCUGCCCUCCAGGAUCUCUACAUUCCCCCUCCUCCUGCAGAACCAUAUAUUCCCAGGGAUGAGAAAGGAAACCUUCCUUGUGAAGACCUCAGAGGACAUAUGGUGGGCAAGCCAGUUCAUAAGGGAUCUGAAUCACCAAAUUCAUUUCUGGAUCAGGAAUAUCGAAAGAGGUUUAAUAUUGUCGAGGAAGAUACUGUCUUGUAUUGCUAUGAAUAUGAAAAAGGAAGAUCAAGUAGUCAAGGAAGACGAGAAAGCACCCCAACUUAUGGCAAGCUACGACCUAUUUCUAUGCCAGUGGAAUAUAAUUGGGUGGGGGACUAUGAAGAUCCAAAUAAGAUGAAGAGAGAUAGUAGAAGAGAAAACUCUCUACUCCGAUACAUGAGCAAUGAAAAAAUUGCUCAAGAAGAAUACAUGUUUCAGAGAAACAGCAAAAAAGACACGGGGAAGAAGUCUAAAAAGAAGGGAGAUAAGAGUAAUAGCCCGACCCACUAUUCAUUGCUACCUAGUUUGCAAAUGGAUACAUUGAGACAAGACAUCAUGGGCACACCUGUGCCAGAGACCACACUGUAUCAUACAUUUCAGCAGUCCUCUCUGCAGCAUAAAUCAAAGAAGAAAAACAAAGGUCCUAUAGCUGGCAAGAGCAAAAGACGAAUUUCUUGCAAAGAUCUUGGCCGUGGUGACUGUGAAGGCUGGCUUUGGAAAAAGAAAGAUGCAAAGAGUUAUUUUUCACAGAAAUGGAAGAAAUAUUGGUUUGUCCUUAAGGAUGCAUCCCUAUAUUGGUAUAUUAAUGAGGAGGAUGAGAAAGCAGAAGGAUUCAUCAGCCUGCCUGAAUUUAAAAUUGAUAGAGCCAGUGAAUGCCGCAAGAAAUAUGCAUUCAAAGCCUGUCAUCCUAAAAUCAAAAGCUUUUAUUUUGCUGCUGAGCAUCUUGAUGAUAUGAACAGAUGGCUUAACAGAAUUAAUAUGCUGACUGCAGGUUACGCAGAAAGAGAGAGGAUUAAGCAAGAACAAGAUUACUGGAGUGAGAGUGACAAGGAAGAAGCAGAUACUCCAUCUACACCCAAACAGGACAGCCCUCCACCACCCUAUGAUACAUACCCACGGCCUCCCUCUAUGAGUUGUGCCAGUCCUUACGUGGAAGCAAAACACAGCCGGCUGUCCUCCACAGAGACCUCUCAGUCUCAGUCUUCUCAUGAGGAGUUUCGUCAGGAAGUGACUGGGAGCAGUGCGGUGUCCCCCAUUCGCAAGACAGCCAGCCAGCGCCGCUCCUGGCAGGAUUUAAUUGAGACGCCCCUGACAAGCUCAGGAUUACACUAUCUUCAGACUCUGCCCCUGGAGGAUUCUGUCUUCUCUGACCCCGCGGCCAUAUCCCCAGAGCACAGGCGGCAGUCCACCCUUCCGACUCAGAAAUGCCACCUACAGGAUCACUAUGGGCCUUAUCCAUUAGCCGAGAGCGACAGGAUGCAAGUGUUAAAUGGAAAUGGGGGCAAGCCUCGAAGUUUUACUCUGCCUCGAGAUAGCGGGUUCAACCACUGCUGUCUGAAUGCGCCGGUUAGUGCCUGUGACCCGCAGGAUGACGUACAGCCCACAGAGGUGGAGGAAGAGGAGGAGGAGGAGGAGGAGGAGGAAGGGGAGGCAGCAGGGGAAAACAUAGGAGACAAAAGUGAAAGCGGGGAAGAAAAGUUAGGAGACUCAUUGCAAGAUUUAUACAGGGCACUGGAGCAAGCCAGUCUGUCACCACUGGGAGAACAUCGCAUUUCAACCAAAAUGGAAUACAAGCUAUCAUUUAUAAAGAGAUGCAAUGAUCCUGUGAUGAAUGAAAAACUACAUAGGCUGAGAAUUCUCAAAAGCACUUUAAAGGCCAGAGAAGGGGAAGUAGCCAUUAUCGACAAAGUCCUAGACAAUCCAGACUUGACAUCUAAAGAAUUCCAACAAUGGAAGCAGAUGUACCUUGAUCUUUUCUUGGAUAUCUGUCAAACCACCACCUCAAAUGACCCAUUAAGUAUUUCUUCUGAAGUAGAUGUAAUCACUUCCUCUCUAACACACACCCAUUCAUACAUUGAAACGCACGUGUAAGUGUAUUCUGCCUUCAGGCCAUCUGGUAUCUUCUGGUACUUUGAACAAGUAUAUAAGGUAGUUUUUAUAUCAAUGUGUGGGACACUUGAUAAGCUAUACUUCAGUGUUACCAAACUAUAUGAAACAAACCAUAUAUGGUCAUAAUACUAUUGUCUUUAAUGAGCAUUUGUAUAUUUUAUAUGCAAUUAAUGCUCAGUUUAUGUUUACCGUGUGCAAAAUCAACUGUCUUCAAUGACUUAAAAUUAACUUUUGCAGACUAUUCUGAAGACAACUGGUCUUCAAGUAGAAAAAACAAAAUGGCAGUUUUCUACCUACGGUCAUCUUUUCUCCCUUUAAGUUAAUUUUAUAUAAACAAGACUUCAAAAGUAAAUCACAUUUUUUCAGGUGCAGACAUCCUUGUGGGUGGGAAAGAAUUUAAACCUUUUUUAUAUUUAUUAAAAUGUUCUAAGAAUUUUCUUAAACAUUGCACAAAGUUUAAUGCUGUAGUUUUAUUUUUGUGAAAUGUAGAUGCGCCUACAAGAGUUAAGCAAAAUAGAAGAGCAUCAACAUAAGAGAAGUCAGGAGGAGGAAGGGACCCUCCUUUACUAUUCUAUAUCCUAAACUCUACUUCUAAUCAGCUUUAUACUGUUGCCUGUACAGCUCAGUGAAUGUACUUUCAUCUCUAAAAGUUCAGACACAUGCCAGUGAACAUUUUUGCUGUCGAGGAGAAAGUAAGAACUCCACAGCGGGGAUCUUUUUCUUUGCUUUUGAAACCACCAUUGAAUCACUAUCGUUUUGCAGACUUUGCACAACUGUACAGGAAAGUGGCCUUUCUACAGCACAUUUUCAGUAAUCCUAUAUUUACUCAAAAUGGAUGAGAAACACGUAUUAAUGUUUGUAUGGAAUUUUGGGUCCAGUGUAAUAUUUUUAUCAUUUAAAAAAACUAUUUGUAAAAACAUUUAUUUACUGCAUGGAUAUUGAUGCACAUUAAAUUUGUGGGAUUUUGUAUAUGUAAAAAAACAAACAAAAAAUCCUCUUGUCCUAAAAUGAAGUGUGCUUGUUAAAGGUAUUUAGACUUGUUGAUGUUUACUAGACCAAAUGUGUACAUUCAUUUAAAAAUAUCUGUAUCUGAUGGAUGUGUCAUGGAUACAGUGGCCAGGUUGUGCCCUGUAAACAGCAAGCAGUUGAUGGGAAGACUAGCUGUGUUGCUACUAAGCAGCUUUUCCUUUUGUAAAGUCUGCUCUGUUGUUUUAAAUGGUAAAAAUUAAACUGAAUUUUAA